rnacentral:rRNA from 1 species
CUGCGAGACCUACAAGUCGAAGCAGGGACGAAAGUCGGGCUUAGUGAUCCGGUGGUUCCGCAUGGAAGGGGCCAUCGCUCAACGGAUAAAAGCUACCCCGGGGAUAACAGGCUUAUCUCCCCCAAGAGUCCACAUCGACGGGGAGGUUUGGCACCUCGAUGUCGGCUCAUCGCAUCCUGGGGCUGUAGUCGGUCCCAAGGGUUGGGCUGUUCGCCCAUUAAAGCGGUACGCGAGCUGGGUUCAGAACGUCGUGAGACAGUUCGGUCCCUAUCCGUCGUGGGCGCAGGAAAUUUGAGAGGAGCUGUCCUUAGUACGAGAGGACCGGGAUGGACGCACCGCUGGUGUACCAGUUGUCUUGCCAAAGGCAUCGCUGGGUAGCUAUGUGCGGAAGGGAUAAGUGCUGAAAGCAUCUAAGCAUGAAGCCCCCCUCGAGAUGAGAUUUCCCAUAGCGUCAAGCUAGUAAGAUCCCUGAAAGAUGAUCAGGUUGAUAGGUCUGAGGUGGAAGCGUGGUGACACGUGGAGCUGACAGAUACUAAUAGAUCGAGGACUUAACCAC